rnacentral:rRNA from 1 species
UUCGUCCUACGGGAGGCAGCAGUGAGGAAUAUUGGUCAAUGGCCGAGAGGCUGAACCAGCCAAGUCGCGUGAGGGAUGACGGCCCUCCGGGUUGUAAACCUCUUUUGUCGGGGAGCAAGACCCGCCACGAGUGGCGGAGCGAGAGUACCCGAAGAAAAAGCAUCGGCUAACUCCGUGCCAGCAGCCGCGGUAAUACGGAGGAUGCGAGCGUUAUCCGGAUUUAUUGGGUUUAAAGGGUGCGCAGGCGGAUUUUUAAGUAAGCGGUCAAAUCGUGGGG